ACAGGGGAUCCUGGUCAGCUCGGCCUCUUUGCUGAGAAACCGACUGGAGAACCACAACAGAAGCUAAGCUUUUAACCUCUGCAGGCAAGACACAAUACUUGUUCCUCCGCCUGCCUUGCACUGAUCAGCUGUUCGGAUCUGCAGGCUUCAAAACAGGCAAAAAUACAACCAGACUAAAGAACAGAGUGAUUCUGACAGCGGUUAUGACGUUUACUGAGGACACAAGAGGACACCUUUGUGAGCCAGAGUUUACAGAACCGGAUUCAGUGGACCGAAGGAAAUAGAGGAGACACUUCUGUUCUAACUGGAGAGUGAGAGAGAUCCCAAGUUACCUGGUGGUGCAGAAGUUAAAUCAGGCAAACUGCACAGAAGUCUGUUUUCAAAGUG